rnacentral:tRNA from 1 species
GCCUGCUUAACUCAAUUGGUAGAGUAUCGGUUUUGUAAACCGACGGUUAACGGUUCGAGUCCGUUAGGAGGC